UUGACACAGUGAACCACCAGAUCCUCAUUUCGACACUCCAGGAUCUGGGUGUCUCAGGCCCUGCACUCUCCUUGCUCACAUCUUACCUGGCAGACCGCACCUACCGGGUAACUUGGAGAAGAUCUAUCUCAGAACCUUGCCCACUCAAAACUGGGGACCCUAAUCUUG